UGAACCUCCCAGGUCCAGCCAUCUC
rnacentral:piRNA from 1 species